UACGUAGGGGGCAAGCGUUGUCCGGAAUCAUUGGGCGUAAAGAGCGUGUAGGCGGUCCGGUAAGUCGGUUGUGAAAGUCGGGGGCUCAACCCUCGGAGGCCGACCGAUACUGUCGGGCUAGAGUCCGGAAGAGGCGAGUGGAAUUCCUGGUGUAGCGGUGAAAUGCGCAGAUAUCAGGAGGAACACCGAUGGCGAAAGCAGCUCUCUGGGACGGUACUGACGCUGAGGCGCGAAAGCGUGGGGAGCGAACAGG
rnacentral:rRNA from 1 species